UCCUGGCUCAGAUUGAACGCUGGCGGCAUGCUUUACACAUGCAAGUCGAACGGCAGCACGGGUGCUUGCACCUGGUGGCGAGUGGCGGACGGGUGAGUAAUGCAUCGGAACGUGUCCUGAAGUGGGGGAUAACGCAUCGAAAGAUGUGCUAAUACCGCAUAUUCUCUGAGGAGGAAAGUAGGGGAUCGAAAGACCUUAUGCUUUUGGAGCGGCCGAUGUCUGAUUAGCUAGUUGGUAGGGUAAUGGCUUACCAAGGCGACGAUCAGUAGUUGGUCUGAGAGGACGACCAGCCACACUGGGACUGAGACACGGCCCAGACUCCUACGGGAGGCAGCAGUGGGGAAUUUUGGACAAUGGGCGCAAGCCUGAUCCAGCAAUGCCGCGUGAGUGAAGAAGGCCUCGGUUGUAAGGUA
rnacentral:rRNA from 1 species